CAAUAGCGUAUAUUAAAGUUGUUGCAGUUAAAAAGCUCGUAGUCUGACUGUUGACCUGGUGUUGAGCGUCCGUGGCUUCUGGUCAUGUGUACGCGAGGCACUGGUCACUACCUUCGGAGGAGCGUUCGUGCUUUUAACUAAGUGCGUGCGGGAUUCCGAUAGUUUACUUGAGAAAAUUAGAGUGUUUAAAGCAGGCUUGCGCAAUGAAUACAUUAGCAUGGAAUAAUAAUAUAGGACUUCGGUCUCUACUUUAUUGGUUCUGGAGUGAAGUAAUGAUUGAUAGGGAUAGUUGGGGGUGCUAGUAUUGAGUGGCCAGAGGUGAAAUUCUUAGAUUCACUCAAGACUAACUUAUGCGAAAGCAUUCACCAAGGAUGUCUUCUUUAAUCAAGAACGAAAGUUGGGGGAUCGAAGACGAUUAGAUACCA
rnacentral:rRNA from 1 species